UCAGAUGGCCGGGCGGUCGCGGGUGAGGCUUGCCUCAUCUGAGGAAAGUCCGGGCUCCACGGCAAUAUGGCGGCGGGUAACGCCCGCCGGGGGUGACCCCAGGGAUAGCGCCACAGAAAAUAAACCGCCCGGCUCCGGCCGGGUAAGGGUGAAACGGUGCGGUAAGAGCGCACCGCGUCUGCGGUAACGCAGGCGGCACGGCAAGCCCCGCCAGGAGCAAGACCAAAUAGGAACGGCGCGCCGGAAGCAAUUCCGGCAGGGCAUUGCCGCCCGGGACCGUUCGGGUAGGUUGCGUGAGCCGUCCAGUAAUGGCCGGCCAAGAGGAAUGAUCGUCACGAUCAAGGGUCUUGCGACCCGAAGUCGUACAGAACCCGGCUUACAGGCCGUCUGAUCCU
rnacentral:RNase_P_RNA from 1 species